CCUUUGACGUUAGCGGCGGACGGGUGAGUAACACGUGGGUAACCUACCUAUAAGACUGGGAUGACUUCGGGAAACCGGAGCUAAUACCGGAUAAUAUUUCGAACCGCAUGGUUCGAUAGUGAAAGGUGGUUUUGCUAUCACUUAUAGAUGGACCCGCGCCGUAUUAGCUAGUUGGUAAGGUAACGGCUUACCAAGGCGACGAUACGUAGCCGACCUGAGAGGGUGAUCGGCCACACUGGAACUGAGACACGGUCCAGACUCCUACGGGAGGCAGCAGCC
rnacentral:rRNA from 1 species